GGUCCUACGGGACGCAGCAGUCGGGAAUAUUGCGCAAUGGAGGAAACUCUGACGCAGUGACGCCGCGUAUGGGAAGAAGGUUUUCGGAUUGUAAACCAUUGUCGUUAGGGAAGAAGAAGUGACAGUACCUAAGGAGGAAGCUCCGGCUAACUCCGUGCCAGCAGCCGCGGUAAUACGGAGGAUGCGAGCGUUAUCCGGAUUUAUUGGGUUUAAAGGGUGCGUAGGCGGAAUAUCAAGUCAGCGGUAAAAAUUCGGGGCUCAACCCCGUCGUGCCGUUGAAACUGAUGUUCUUGAGUGGGCGAGAA
rnacentral:rRNA from 1 species